ensembl:misc_RNA Metazoa_SRP Metazoan signal recognition particle RNA
GCUGGGUGUGGUGGCGCAUGCCUGUAGUUCCAGCUACUUAGGAGGCUGAGGUGGGAGGACUGCUUGAGCCCAGGAAGUCAAGGCUGCAGUGAGCCAAGAUCACUAUGUCACUGCACCCCAGCCUGGGUGACAGAGCGAGACCCCAUCUCAA